UACGUAGGGUGCAAGCGUUGUCCGGAAUUAUUGGGCGUAAAGAGCUCGUAGGCGGUUCGUCGCGUCGGCUGUGAAAUCCCGAGGCUCAACCUCGGGUCUGCAGUCGAUACGGGCGGACUGGAGUUCGGCAGGGGAGACUGGAAUUCCUGGUGUAGCGGUGAAAUGCGCAGAUAUCAGGAGGAACACCGGUGGCGAAGGCGGCAUCCUGGACCAAUAUUGACGCUGAGGAGCGAAAGCCAGGGGAGCAAACGGG
rnacentral:rRNA from 1 species